GAUGAACGCUGGCGGCGUGCCUAAUACAUGCAAGUCGAGCGAACAGAUAAGGAGCUUGCUCCUUUGAAGUUAGCGGCGGACGGGUGAGUAACACGUGGGUAACCUACCUAUAAGACUGGGAUAACUUCGGGAAACCGGAGCUAAUACCGGAUAACAUUUAGAACCGCAUGGCUCUAAAGUGAAAGAUGGUUUUGCUAUCACUUAUAGAUGGACCCGCGCCGUAUUAGCUAGUUGGUAAGGUAACGGCUUACCAAGGCGACGAUACGUAGCCGACCUGAGAGGGUGAUCGGCCACACUGGAACUGAGACACGGUCCAGACUCCUACGGGAGGCAGCAGUAGGGAAUCUUCCGCAAUGGGCGAAAGCCUGACGGAGCAACGCCGCGUGAGUGAUGAAGGGUUUCGGCUCGUAAAACUCUGUUAUUAGGGAAGAACAAAUGUGUAAGUAGCUGUGCACAUCUUGACGGUACCUAAUCAGAAAGCCACGGCUAACUACGUGCCAGCAGCCGCGGUAAUACGUAGGUGGCAAGCGUUAUCCGGAAUUAUUGGGCGUAAAGCGCGCGUAGGCGGUUUCUUAAGUCUGAUGUGAAAGCCCACGGCUCAACCGUGGAGGGUCAUUGGAAACUGGGAAACUUGAGUGCAGAAGAGGAAAGUGGAAUUCCAUGUGUAGCGGUGAAAUGCGCAGAGAUAUGGAGGAACACCAGUGGCGAAGGCGACUUUCUGGUCUGUAACUGACGCUGAUGUGCGAAAGCGUGGGGAUCAAACAGGAUUAGAUACCCUGGUAGUCCACGCCGUAAACGAUGAGUGCUAAGUGUUAGGGGGUUUCCGCCCCUUAGUGCUGCAGCUAACGCAUUAAGCACUCCGCCUGGGGAGUACGACCGCAAGGUUGAAACUCAAAGGAAUUGACGGGGACCCGCACAAGCGGUGGAGCAUGUGGUUUAAUUCGAAGCAACGCGAAGAACCUUACCAAAUCUUGACAUCCUUUGAAAACUCUAGAGAUAGAGCCUUCCCCUUCGGGGGACAAAGUGACAGGUGGUGCAUGGUUGUCGUCAGCUCGUGUCGUGAGAUGUUGGGUUAAGUCCCGCAACGAGCGCAACCCUUAAGCUUAGUUGCCAUCAUUAAGUUGGGCACUCUAGGUUGACUGCCGGUGACAAACCGGAGGAAGGUGGGGAUGACGUCAAAUCAUCAUGCCCCUUAUGAUUUGGGCUACACACGUGCUACAAUGGACAAUACAAAGGGCAGCUAAACCGCGAGGUCAUGCAAAUCCCAUAAAGUUGUUCUCAGUUCGGAUUGUAGUCUGCAACUCGACUACAUGAAGCUGGAAUCGCUAGUAAUCGUAGAUCAGCAUGCUACGGUGAAUACGUUCCCGGGUCU
rnacentral:rRNA from 1 species